GACGAACGCUGGCGGCGUGCCUAAUACAUGCAAGUAGAACGCUGAAGGAGGAGCUUGCUCUUCUUGGAUGAGUUGCGAACGGGUGAGUAACGCGUAGGUAACCUGCCUGGUAGCGGGGGAUAACUAUUGGAAACGAUAGCUAAUACCGCAUAAUAGUAGAUGUUGCAUGACAUUUGCUUAAAAGGUGCAAUUGCAUCACUACCAGAUGGACCUGCGUUGUAUUAGCUAGUUGGUGAGGUAACGGCUCACCAAGGCAACGAUACAUAGCCGACCUGAGAGGGUGAGCGGCCACACUGGGACUGAGACACGGCCCAGACUCCUACGGGAGGCAGCAGUAGGGAAUCUUCGGGAAUGGACGGAAGUCUGACCGAGCAACGCCGCGUGAGUGAAGAAGGUUGUCGGAUCGUAAAGCUCUGUUGUAAGAGAAGAACGAGUGUGAGAGUGGAAAGUUCACACUGUGACGGUAUCUUACCAGAAAGAGACGGCUAACUACGUG
rnacentral:rRNA from 1 species